ensembl:misc_RNA Y_RNA Y RNA
GGCUGGUCCGAGGGCAGUGGUGUUUACAACUAAUUGAAAAUAACCAGUUACAGAUUUCUUUGUUCCUUCUCCACUCCACAGCUUCACUGGACUAGCCUUAA